rnacentral:rRNA from 1 species
CCCUUAGAUGUUCUGGGCCGCACGCGCGCUACACUGAUGAAUUCAACGAGCUCCUAACCUAGGCCGAAGGGUCUGGGUAAUCUUUGAAAUUUCAUCGUGAUGGGGAUAGAUUAUUGCAAUUAUUAAUCUUCAACGAGGAAUUCCUAGUAAGCGCGAGUCAUCAGCUCGCGUUGAUUACGUCCCUGCCCUUUGUACACACCGCCCGUCGCUCCUACCGAUUGAAUGGUCCGGUGAAAUGUUCGGAUCGCGGCAAAUCGGACGGGUAACCGUCAGGUUCGCUGCGAGAAGUUCAUUAAACCUUAUCAUUUAGAGGAAGGAGAAGUCGUAACA